AGAAUACCUCUGCAUCAAAGACUGCUAUGGGAAUAAAAGGAGAAAAAGUCAUGGUGUGGCCUCCAUCCUCCCCUGACCUCAAUCCUAUUGAGAACCUUUGGAUCAUCCUCAAGCAAAAGAUCUAUGAGGGCGGGAGGCAGUUUACAUCCAAACAGCAGCUCUGGGAGGAUAUACUGACAUCUUGCAAACAAAUUCAAGCAGAAACUGUC